AGAGUUUGAUCAUGGCUCAGGACGAACGCUGACGGUGUGCUUUAGGCAUGCAAGUCGAACGAGAAAGCCCUUCGGGGUGAGUAGAGUGGCGAACGGGUGAGUAACACGUGGGCAACCUGCCCCUCGCAGGGGGAUAACCGGAGGAAACUCCGGCUAAUACCCCGUAAGCUUUCAGGGUCGCAUGGCCCUGUAAGGAAAGGUAGCUUCGGCCAUCCGGCGAGGGAUGGGCCCGCGGUGCAUUAGCUAGUUGGUGGGGUAACGGCCCACCAAGGCGACGAUGCGUAGCUGGUCUGAGAGGAUGAUCAGCCACACUGGGACUGAGACACGGCCCAGACUCCUACGGGAGGCAGCAGCCAGGAAUCUUGGGCAAUGGGCGAAAGCCUGACCCAGCAACACCGUGUGGGCGAUGAAGGCCUUCGGGUCGUAAAGCCCUGUUGAUAGGGACGAAGGGCGAAGGGUUAAUAGCCCCUAGCCUGACGGUACCUUUCGAGGAAGCCCCGGCUAACUACGUGCCAGCAGCCGCGGUAAUACGUAGGGGGCGAGCGUUGUCCGGAAUUAUUGGGCGUAAAGAGCGUGUAGGCGGUUCGGUAAGUCUGCCGUGAAAACCUGAGGCUCAACCUCGGGCGUGCGGUGGAUACUGCCGGACUAGAGGACGGUAGAGGCGAGUGGAAUUCCCGGUGUAGCGGUGAAAUGCGCAGAUAUCGGGAGGAACACCAGUAGCGAAGGCGGCUCGCUGGGCCGUUCCUGACGCUGAGACGCGAAAGCUAGGGGAGCGAACAGGAUUAGAUACCCCCGUAGUCC
rnacentral:rRNA from 1 species